CUCUGCCUUAGUUUGGGGCAAGGCAAGUUGCAAAGAGCCCCUCUGCCUGAAGAAAGCCUCUGGUGCCAUCAGAGCUAAGGGAGGAGAAAGAACCGUGGAUCCAGGAGGUGGAUGAUAGCAGGAGUUCCUGCCAAUCAAGCCUCUGAUCUCCGCAUCUCAAAAUACCAAUUAGAAAAGUUGUGACUUGAGGUUUGGGGCAGUGAAGCCAGAAGAUUUGGCUGCCCAAAGAUGACAGGCUAUGAUGCCAAACUGGGAGUGGUGGCAAAGAGCUUGAUGGCUGCUGGACUUGGAAGAAACAUGGCAAUGACCCUCAUAAAUCAGGACUAAAAAUACUCAGCCGCAUUGAGAUGGAGGGUGCCUUUGUGUGUCCUGACAUCCAGCUAUUUGUGAGAUGGAUGACAAAAGCAGGAGAAAGAUACAGCGUUCCCCCUCAAAACAGGGAAAAUAUUGCUUCGAUCACCUGCAGAUGUUCAUUUGAUAAAACCCAACAAGUAUACAACUAAAAAGCUCCUUUUUAGUACUACUGAAAAUAACAGCUAUCCUGCACAGAUGCAUCUUCAAAGAAAAGCUGCAGCCCUUCUCAAAGAUAAUGGCUGAUUUUCUGAUGCUGUUUCCCUUUUUUGUUCUUUUGCAAUCAGAAUGUUGAAGAUGUUGUACCAAUACCUGUAUCAACCCUUCAUGGAACUGCCCUCUUAAUCUUUAAUUUCUAUUUCUAUAUUUACCCAUGUGAAACUGUUAGUGCUAUUUUACAGAAAGACUGAUGAGAGUCAUAUUUAUUCAGAAGUUGGUCUUCCUGAAUUCAGAGGAAAUGGGGCUUGAUUAAGCUGUCUGUUCAUGAGAUUUCUCCAAUAAUGUUUUUCUGGAUUGUCACAGCAAGUUUGGAUUCCAUCGAGGAUCCAAGAAUGAAUUGGGAAAUGCAAUAAAAUGGAUGACUUAAAGCUGUUCAUGUGGUAUUAACUUGCUCAGUCUGCAAGUGGGACUCUGAACUCAAUGACUAAGUUUUUCAAGCUGAACAGAGGUGGUAGUCACAGAAAAGAGACUUAAGGGAAUGAAUGGAAAUAUGACUAGCUGAGUAUUAUGGAAGGCCAAGAGGGAGUGAAACAUACCCUACUGAUAAUGGCCCCUUUUAGGAAAUGCUUGCAGUUUCUCAGAUAUGCCCGUGAGGCCUAGCAACUUGCCUAGCAACUUUAAAUGAAGUCAGCUCACACAAUUGUCUCAAGCUGUAGUAAACACAUUGCUUCCCUGCAUGCCUCCAACAACACUUCUCUGAAGUGGUAAGUUUCACACCUUGGGGCAAUUAAAUUAUCAUAUGAUAAGGUGGGCCCUUCUGACUACUCCAAGGGAAAAGGGGAAAA